rnacentral:rRNA from 1 species
ACGCUCGACACCUACGGAGGCAGCAGUGGGGAAUAUUGCACAAUGGGGGAAACCCUGAUGCAGCGACGCCGCGUGAGCGAAGAAGUAUUUCGGUAUGUAAAGCUCUAUCAGCAGGGAAGAAACUGACGGUACCUGACUAAGAAGCACCGGCUAAAUACGUGCCAGCACGCCGGAGUAUNGNGGCGGGUCGUGGACGAAGGC